rnacentral:rRNA from 1 species
AGAAUCAACGCUGGCGGCGCGCCUAACACAUGCAAGUCGCACGAGAAAGGGUAGCAAUACCUGAGUAAAGUGGCGCACGGGUGAGUAACACGUGAAUAAUCUACCUCCGAGUGGGGAAUAACUGAGAGAAAUCUUAGCUAAUACCGCAUAACACUUACGAGUCAAAGCAGUAAUGCGCUUGGAGAGGAGUUCGCGGCAGAUUAGCUAGUUGGCGGGGUAAUGGCCCACCAAGGCGAUGAUCUGUAUCCGGCCUGAGAGGGCGCACGGACACACUGGAACUGAAACACGGUCCAGACUCCUACGGGAGGCAGCAGUGGGGAAUUUUGCGCAAUGGGGGAAACCCUGACGCAGCAACGCCGCGUGGAGGAUGAAAUCCCUUGGGAUGUAAACUCCUUUCGAUAGGGAAGAUAAUGACGGUACCUAUAGAAGAAGCCCGGCUAACUUCGCGCCAGCAGCCGC